rnacentral:rRNA from 1 species
UGGCUCAGAACGAACGCUGGCGGCGCGUCUUAAGCAUGCAAGUCGAACGGCAAGAGGUAGCAAUACCUCCUAGAGUGGCGGACUGGUGAGUAACACGUGGGUGACAUACCCUUCAGAUGGGGAUAGCUAUUAGAAAUAGUAGAUAAUACCGAAUACGAGCACAGGGGUUAGAGAUCUGCGAGGAAAGGAGCUAAGGCUCCGCUGAAGGAAUGGCCUGCGGCCCAUUAGCUAGUUGGUGAGGUAAGAGCCCACCAAGGCGAUGAUGGGUAUCCGGCCUUAGAGGGUGAACGGACACAUUGGGACUGAGAUACGGCCCAGACUCCUACGGGAGGCAGCAGCUAAGAAUAUUCCGCAAUGGACGAAAGUCUGACGGAGCGACGCCGCGUGGAUGAAGAAGGCCGGAAGGUUGUAAAAAUCCUUUUGAAACUGAAGAAUAAGCGUUGUAGGGAAUGACAGCGUGGUGACAGUAGGUUUUGAAUAAGCAACGGCUAAUUACGUGCCAGCAGCGGC